rnacentral:rRNA from 1 species
GUGAACGCUGGCGGUAGGCCUAACACAUGCCGGUCGAACGGCAGCACAGUAAGAGCUUGCUCUUACGGGUGGCGAGUGGCGGACGGGUGAGGAAUACAUCGGAAUCUACUUUUUCGUGGGGGAUAACGUAGGGAAACUUACGCUAAUACCGCAUACGACCUACGGGUGAAAGCAGGGGAUCUUCGGACCUUGCGCGAUUGAAUGAGCCGAUGUCGGAUUAGCUAGUUGGCGGGGUAAAGGCCCACCAAGGCGACGAUCCGUAGCUGGUCUGAGAGGAUGAUCAGCCACACUGGAACUGAGACACGGUCCAGACUCCUACGGGAGGCAGCAGUGGGGAAUAUUGGACAAUGGGCGCAAGCCUGAUCCAGCCAUACCGCGUGGGUGAAGAAGGCCUUCGGGUUGUAAAGCCCUUUUGUUGGGAAAGAAAAGCAGCAGGUUAAUACCCCGCUGUUCUGACGGUACCCAAAGAAUAAGCACCGGCUAACUUCGUGC